AGACGGAGGGUGCAAGCGUUAAUCGGAAUUACUGGGCGUAAAGCGCUCGUAGGCGGCUUGUUAAGUCGGAUGUGAAAGCCCCGGGCUCAACCUGGGAACUGCAUUCGAUACUGGCAGGCUAGAGUAUAGUAGAGGCAAGUGGAAUUCCGGGUGUAGCGGUGAAAUGCGUAGAUAUCCGGAGGAACAUCAGUGGCGAAGGCGACUUGCUGGACUAAUACUGACGCUGAGGAGCGAAAGCGUGGGGAGCAAACGGGAUUAGAAACCCCGGUAGUCC
rnacentral:rRNA from 1 species